rnacentral:lncRNA from 1 species
AUUUUAUUUUAUUUUAUUUUAUUUUAUUUUAUUUUAUUUUAUUUUAUUAUUUUUUUUUUCCAGUGGAGAAAUCUGCAAGGUAAGGUUUUUGUUCCCUUCAGUGGCAAGAAUUGAACAUGCCACAACUCCUACUGCAUGUAAUACAAUGUCCCCAUUUAUGAUACAAACAUAAGGUCCAAUUCUGAACUCACUAAGUGCUUGAAGUCCAUACAGCUCCAUAGAUAUGGAUCCAGAGUUUUGUGUCACACCUGCUUAAUCUAACUUGUGGUGUCUCAGACACCAUGAAGCAGAAUAGCCGGGGUGCCAAUCUCCAUGUAAGCACUCUGGGUUUGCUGUAGGUUGGGCAGCUCACAAUGAUGUUCAAAAUGUGAUGACAACACCGUGAUGGGUACCUGGGUACAGCUGGUGUGGGUCUGGCCUUCUGCAGUGGCAUAACCUAAUUCUGGCUGCAGAUUCACCCAGCAAUGGCCAACAACUUUUUAAAAUGGGGUUCUGAUCUACUAAAAGUUUUCUAAAUUCUAUUAUUGCUUUUUGUUUCCUGUACUAUUACAGUAAUAAUGGCUUUAUUUUAUUCUUGCAUGCUGUCAUUCAGUGCUUCACCUUUCCUCAUAAGAUACUUCUUUUAGGUCCAUUUUUUAUUUUGUUAUCCCUUCUUUCCCCUCCUACCCUCACUUUUUGUUUGUUUGUUUGUUUUGUUUCUGUUCAUGGUGUUGUAGAUUCAUUUUCAGUGAGCACCUUACAACAGAGUCUCUUCUUUUUCACCAGGUCUAAUAUUGAAACUAAAUCAGGAAAAGGGAAGGAUGAACUGCUGCUGUAAAAAAAGGAAGGACACAUUCCUGUUGUGCAGGAAAAGCGAUGUCCACAAGCAGUAGUACAAGGUAGCUACAGAAAGGGCAAACAACCCCAAAACGUAGUCUCUUCUUCAUGCUUGUACUCUCUCACUGUUUUCCUCUGUCUUCAUGCUGCUGUCUCCCAGCAGGGUCUGAGAAGUCCUUUCUUUCUUCCAACGCUCUUGGUUUGCAGUCUCUCAGAGUGGUAUCAAGGGGACAAAGCACCUGUUUACGUGAUAAAUCUCUCAUGCAACUUAGGAGUUGUGAGAAAAGAAGAGAAAGACCUCAUCAGAAGACAGAAACAGAUGAUGACGGGGGCAAUACAGGUGAUGCCUGCUAUGGUAACUGGUCAUCAGUUAUCCUGUGUGGACUAACAGAGUUGUCUUCUACUGAAGAAAAAAGCAUUAAUCAAAGUUACCAAGCUCAUAGCUUGUUCUUUUUCUUGAUAGGAAAAUUGUUGACUUCCAGCUUAGCAGCAAUGAAAUGCCAGCCUCAAUUUCUGGUCUUUUAUGGAGCAGAGUGCUCAUCACCGAGAUGCUCCUAUGAUCUCCGCAGGAAAUUGGGUGCUGCUACUGGUUGCAGGUGUUCAGCAACUUUUGGGAAAAAACAAUCCCAUUUUGCUAAUACAAAGAGCAUUUCAAAUUCUACGUGCAGGCAGCUGUGGUGAGAUGAGACAAAAAAUAUCAUUGGAAAAUCCUGUUUUCAAAUCUGUGAUUCAAAUAAUU